AGGGUUCGAUUCUGGCUCAGGAUGAACGCUGGCGGCGUGCUUAACACAUGCAAGUCGAGCGAAGCGAUUCAAAUGAAGUUUCGGAUGGAUUUGAAUUGACUUAGCGGCGGACGGGUGAGUAACGCGUGGGUAACCUGCCUCAUACAGGGGGAUAACAGUUGGAAACGACUGCUAAUACCGCAUAAGCACACAGUGCCGCAUGGUACAGUGUGAAAAACUCCGGUGGUAUGAGAUGGACCCGCGUCUGAUUAGGUAGUUGGUGAGGUAACGGCCCACCAAGCCCGACGAUCAGUAGCCGACCUGAGAGGGUGACCGGCCACAUUGGGACUGAGACACGGCCCAAACUCCUACGGGAGGCAGCAGUGGGGAAUAUUGGACAAUGGGGGAAACCCUGAUCCAGCCGACGCCGCGUGAGUGAAGAAGUAUUUCGGUAUGUAAAGCUCUAUCAGCAGGGAAGAAAAUGACGGUACCUGACUAAGAAGCCCCGGCUAACUACGUGCCAGCAGCUGC
rnacentral:rRNA from 1 species